GCGCCCGUAGCUCAAUCGGAUAGAGUAUCUGGCUUCGAACCAGAGGGUAGGGAGUUCGAAUCUCUCCGGGCGCGCCA
rnacentral:tRNA from 1 species